rnacentral:rRNA from 1 species
GAUGAACGCUGGCGACGUGCCUAAUACAUGCGAGUCGAGCGAACAGAUGAGGAGCUUGCUCCUCUGACGUUAGCGGCGGACGGGUGAGUAACACGUGGAUAACCUACCUAUAAGACUGGGAUAACUUCGGGUAACCGGAGCUAAUACCGGAUAAUAUAUUGAACCGCAUGGUUCAAUAGUGAAAGACGGUUUUGCUGUCACUUAUAGAUGGAUCCGCGCCGCAUUAGCUAGUUGGUAAGGUAACGGCUUACCAAGGCAACGAUGCGUAGCCGACCUGAGAGGGUGAUCGGCCACACUGGAACUGAGACACGGUCCAGACUCCUACGGGAGGCAGCAGUAGGGAAUCUUCCGCAAUGGGCGAAAGCCUGACGGAGCAACGCCGCGUGAGUGAUGAAGGUCUUCGGAUCGUAAAACUCUGUUAUUAGGGAAGAACAAAUGUGUAAGUAACUAUGCACGUCUUGACGGUACCUAAUCAGAAAGCCACGGCUAACUACGUG